rnacentral:rRNA from 1 species
GACGAACGCUGGCGGCGUGCUUAACACAUGCAAGUCGAACGGAAAGGCCCUGCUUUUGUGGGGUGCUCGAGUGGCGAACGGGUGAGUAACACGUGAGUAACCUGCCCUUGACUUUGGGAUAACUUCAGGAAACUGGGGCUAAUACCGGAUAGGAGCUCCUGCUGCACGGUGGGGGUUGGAAAGUUUCGGCGGUUGGGGAUGGACUCGCGGCUUAUCAGCUUGUUGGUGGGGUAGUGGCUUACCAAGGCUUUGACGGGUAGCCGGCCUGAGAGGGUGACCGGCCACAAUGGGACUGAGAUACGGCCCAGACUCCUACGGGAGGCAGCAGUGGGGAAUAUUGCACAAUGGGCGGAAGCCUGAUACAGCAACGCCGCGUGCGGGAUGACGGCCUUCGGGUUGUAAACCGCUUUCGCCUGUGACGAAGCGUGAGUGACGGUAAUGGGUAAAGAAGCACCGGCUAACUACGUG